GCACCUCAUCAGCUCAUCUGAUCUCGUCGCCGUCUCCUGCUCCUCGCCUCCUCGCGACCCCACCUCCUCAACUCCUCCUUCACCUCAAGGCCGGGCAAGGCGUCUGCAAGUGCAAGACAACAGGAACAUGAUGGUGGGGGUGGCAAUGGCAAGUGCUCCUCUUCCCCAUCCCAGGUGACCGGCAGCUUCUGCAUCGACCCAAGACUCCAAGAGGCCGAGGCCAUCAGGGUUCAUGUGCCUUUGUAGCUGACCGCGACGACGACCGGCAAGAGGCAACGCGCACCUCUUUCUCCACCUCAAGCAAAUCUGCAUCGACCCAAACCCGAGACCAUCAAGGUGAGCAGCACAAUAAUAUGGCAGGUUCAGGUGAAUAUUUUGAGCAAGAUGAGCCACUUCGUGUGAAGAGAAAGACCAUAUCUGUGGUUUGGAAUGAGUUCAAUAGGGUUCUUGUUGAGGAAAAAUGGAAGGAUGAAUGUGUAUGGUGUCACGGGCUAUUUUGUGGAGAUCCAAAGUAUGGAAGCUCACAUCUGCAUGCUCAUUUAGCAAGAUGUGCUUCUAGGCAGGCCAAUGGUUGAGGAACUGUCGACUUACUAUAUGCCUGCACGGAGCAGUGAAGAAUGAAGAUUGAAGUCUUAGAUAUUUGAUGUUGUUAGUUCUUGUAGUUGUUAUUUUCCCAUGUAAUUGAAUCUUGUUGUUCAAUGUGUAUGAAUCAGUCAUGAGUGGGUUAUCUAAAUAUAUGUCAGAAUUAUCUAAAU